GACCAGCCUGAUUGGUUGCAGGAGGGGACCAAUCAGAGGUACCUCCCAUUUUUCAUCUGCAGCCCAAUGCAAAGUAAUGACAUGGAUCUGGAGAGAUUCUCUUAGGAGAGAAUCUGGCUAAGUGUCUAGCAGGAUGAUUGAUUAACAAGAUGUUUUGUUUUCAUCAUCUCAGAGAUAAGUACAACUAUUCUGUCAUCUAAUCUGCUAACUCCUACAUUAUCAAUACGCUGUAUUGAGGUAUAAUUGAUAUGCCAAAUAACUGGACACAUUCAACUUGUGCAAUUUGAUGAGUUUGGAGAUACACAUACAUCUGUGAAACCAUCACCAAAAUCAAGAUGCUGGUGCCUGCAGUGGAGGCUGCUUGAAAUACAUCUGGUCCAGUCACAGCCUUGAUUGGGGCCAGUGCCUGUGCCAGCACCUGGAGCUGCCUGCCCCACCACAGCAGCCAGCGUGCCUGGCUGUGCACAGAGGCCAGACCUGUGCUCACUCACUCACACGCCCCUCACCACUCUGUGCCUGGCUCACCCUUGGCAGGCAUGGGAUCUCGGCCAGUAGCACGAGCCAAGCACAGCCUGCUGGGCCAAGUGGGUAAAACGAGCCCAGUGGGUGCGAGCAAGACUCAAGCAGAGGCACCACCAGCCGCCGAGGCACCACCAGCCACAGAGGUUUCUGGCUGGUGAAGCAACACCUGAAGAAUCCUAUGGCAUUUUCCUGACUUUGAAAUUUACCCACUUAGUCAAGAAAAUAUGAAGCUAUUCAUUCCCUUUACUUGUCUAGCAGAAUAUUUCCACAUAGAAGAUUUUAGUCUUUGUCAUCAAGACUGCGUAACAUUUAACACUCCACCACAUCAAAAUGCUACUUACACAUACAUAAUAAACACUCAGAGAGGAAUGCUGCCUCAGACAUCAUCUUUUCUUCACUCUGUCUAAAGCAUGAAUGUCCUUAGAUGUUCAUUCAAAAUUAGUGCCAGGGAGUGCUAUUUGGCAAGGCCACUUAGAAUAUAGUAAUUAAUUAGAAUGCAUUUAUUAAAUUAAGCUGAAACUAUCCUCUCUAACUUUCACUGAUGAUUCAUAUAUAAGCCACGUGGACUCAAAUAAAUUCUCAUCCUUUCUACUUUAGAA
rnacentral:lncRNA from 1 species